GGUUCAUUCUUUAUUUUACAUUUAUUAUAGCUUAGAUAUUGUGCAGCAUGAUACAUCACACACACACACACGUGGGCUUGAAUACAUUAUACAAGUAUAUGUGUCUAGUUUUUUAUGGAGGGUUUCCCCACACUUGACUGGUGUCCCUAACUGUCACCCCCAUUUUUACCACCGUAAAAAUAUUUAACCCAAUAUUUAAUAACAUUUUCAAAACUAGUCGCCUUUCCACCAUCGAAAAGUUCUAUAACUUUCAAUUAUCUCCCACUUUUCCACCGUCUCCUUUUCCACCACCGGGAAUGGGUAUUUUGUAUCC
rnacentral:lncRNA from 1 species